GCCAGGCGGAGAACGCUGCCGCCUCCGGGUCCUCUCGGGACUUCCGCGAGGAACGGCGGUGUUUCUGAAAUUAGAGUCCGUUAUUGACCACUGUGGAUCAAUAACUGGGGCGCGAGUUUUGUAGGAGCAAAGUCCUCCGGUUUCUUGGCUACCCCCGUCUCCAGUUUGGAAUGGGAGGAGCCAGGGUGUCACGUGACCAAGUUUGUCAAGACACGUGACGAGGAAGAAGGGGUAGCCUGGUCUUGGAACAGCGUUUAUCUCUGGCGGAGCUCCAGGUAAACCUGGCGAUGGACUGUCAGCAGCCGAGGAUUGAGAUUAUGUCAUUUUGGUCUCAGAUACCUUAGUCUUGAGUGGUGUCCUGCGAUGGGAAAAUGGUAAUUGAGACAGAUUUACACCGAGAGAACACCUCUGUCUCCUCUCUACUCAUCCCUACUCUUUGAAAUAGACACUCUGACGCGGUAAAAGGAGAUGGCAACCCCUUCCCGAGCCCAGGCGUGCUGUCGUGGUUAGAACGCUUUAAAAUUGCUGAGAGUUCUUGGUAUUGGAAAUCCUUAAGUAACAUUUUGUUGCCAAACAUGGAAUACUGAAGAGUUUUGGAUACCAAAUCCAGGAAAAAUAAGGGCGUUAGGAAAAGUCCAGGGAAAGCGGACUCAAUGAACAAAUUGUUAAGAGUCCUCUCUUACCAUGUCUGGCUGGCGGCGACCCAGAUGCCAUGUGAUGGCCAUUUGAAGACAGGCUUGUCGGACAUCAGGUGGCCACCAUGUCACAUACAGCAGUGUAAACCAUUCACGGAGAAUCCAGUGUGAGUGCCCACCUGGAUUUGGUGCAACAGUGCCGCCCGCCCUGCAUGAGUACAGAUGGAGUAAGAGAAUGAAACUCCAAGUGUUGAAAAAGAGAAGACUGAACCAAGUCCAUGGAAGUGCUAUUAGAAAACUGAUCAAUCAGCGAAGCGUUAACAAAUAACACAGAUGUAGUAAGAAGGAUGGGCUUCUCUGGUGGCUCAGAUGGGAAAGAAUCUACCUGCAAUGAGGGAGACCUGGGUUCAGUCCCUGUGUUGGGAAGAUCCCCUGGAAAAGGAAACAGCAACCCGAUCUAGUAUUCUUGCCUGGAGAAUUCCAUGGACAGAGGAGCCUGGUGAGCUGUUGUCCAUGGGGUUUCAGAUUUGGACACAACUGAACAACUAAUACAUAUACACAGUAAGAACGGUCACCCACCUGAGAUAAUUCAGACAGGGGCUAACCAGGGUUUUAGGGCAAACAGUCAACAGGUGACACAUUGGCCACAAAGGGACAGGCGUGGCUUGUCUUUUUCCACAGCCAUUAUCUAUGCACAGGAGUCUUUUCCAGUCCCAGGCUUUGUGGCUCAGAAAUCCAAAACUAAGGCUCAAGCAGAGUAGGGCCAGCUGAAAUUGUGGAAGAAAGUAUCAGGACCUUAACCUAUGUUUCCACUGUAUUUUACAAGUAUUAGUACAUCAAAGUGGGACCCAGCUAUGUAACUUAACUGAUUAUAAAUAUUGCUCCCAACAGUCAGGGGAGAAAGGUAACAGGGGACAGAAGGUCAAAGAGAUUGCUGAGUAUUCUGUGCUGUGUGAUGUGCUUCCUCCAGUAAACCUUCCGGACCUUCCAUAAAUGUUCUGAAAUACUUGAUGUGAUGUGAUCUGAUGUGAACCAAAUUUUGCAUCUAAGUUUGCUCAGGAGCCAUCCCCAUGUUGGGAGUUGGGGUCAGAGGCCAGAGUUAUACUGAGACAAAACUGAGUCUUCUGUGGAAGACGCCACAUAAAUUCAGGGAAUCUUUUGGACUUCUCUAGGCUUUGAAAAUUUGAGGAGUAUAAGGAGAUUUCCUCUAGAAUGUAAGGGACAGGGGUGUUCCUAAUUGAUCAUCAUGCUACAUUUUGAGGACCUAUCCAGGAUAGUUUGAACUGAGGUGGUGUAAACAUACACACACAACAAAAUGAACAAAGGUGGUGUAACCAGCUACACGCUGAUCCUGAGCAAAGAGUUCACCCUCCCCACUACUGCGGACUCUUGGAUGGUUGAUGCCAGGAUACUGAUGCUAAUUCCACAGAACCCUCUAUGGUCCCAGGGAAUCCACUUCAAAGUUAAGGGGAAGUUGUAUUAAUUACUUUCAAAUCACCCAAAUAGUUUUCAGAGAAUGAAUGUACAAUCUCGAAUUGAAUGUCUCAACAGGAAGCUUUAUGUGAACUUAGAGCCACUGGGGCCUAAGAACUUCUCUGGUGAAAUAAGUAGUGGCAGAAGACCUCAAUAUCUGGUGUUCACCAGCCUCUGUAGACAUCCCAUUCCUUAGGAGAGUGGAUUUUUUUCAGGAAACUUAUGACAUGCUUGAAAGGAUCAUCCUCUACUCUGUUUCUUUGCUGAAACAGGGUUCCAUUAUCCACUUGAAGGACAUUGGGUUGUUUAUAUUUUGGGGUGAUUAUAAAUAAGACUACUAUAAGAUUUGCACACGGGAAUUUGUUUCCUCAUGGAUAAAUACCUAGGAGUGAGAUUGCUGGAUCAUAUGGUAAGUGUGUGUUUAACUUCAUAAGAAACCCCCCAACAGUUACAAAUAGUGGUUAUCAUUUUGUAUUGCCACCAAUGAGGAAAUAAACAAAGAUUGCCCAAACGAGAACAAGCAGGCUGUUUACUCAGAGCUUACCAUAUAGCAAGGGAACCAGCCAUUAUCACUCACGUUUGGCAAGCUUUAUAGUAGGAAAAAAGGGAAGAUUUCAGGUAUUUCUUGAUUGGAAGCUGUUGGCAUAGAAAGGUUGUAGGCGAGCUGAAUAGAAGUGGGGCAUCCUGUGUGAUUGGUUAGGGGAGCAAGUAUGUCUUUCUCUGGUUCAUCUGCAAUUGGAAACAGGGGCAAAAGAGAGGGAAGCUGGCAGUUACUGACCAAGUCUUGACCGUUUGGGUCCAAUUGCUGCAGAGGUUGUGGUUUGACUUCUCUGGCUGGUUGCUUCAGAAGUUGUAGGUCAUGGCUCUCUUUCUUUAUAUGACUCUGGUCAUUGCCUUUGUGUCGAUUCAGUCUCUCACUAGCAGUUCCAGUUUCUGAUUUAUUUUUAUUUUUAUUUUUUUUUGAGGAGGGUUCCAGUUGCAAUGCAUCCUGGCCAGUACAGCUGGCUGAGAUGGGGUGACUGGUGGUGGGGAGUGUUGGCCAUCCUAGUAGGUAUAUAGAAGUAUACCAUCAUGGUUUUAGUUAACACUUUGCUAUUGACUAUAAUGAGCAUCUGUUCAUGUCCUUCUUUGAGCCUUGUAUAUCUUUCUUGGGGAAGUAUCUUUUGCCCAUUUGUGUGUGUGUGUGUGUUGCUUCUCAUUGUUUUGAAAGUGUUUUAUAUAUUCUAGAUAUAAGACCUUUCUAAGAUAUGAGAUUUGCAAAUACUUUGUCUCAACAAGCAAGGUCUCAGGAAGUGAGGAUAUCUUUUCAUUUCUUAUCAGUGUUUUCAGCAGAGCAGAAGUUCUCGAUUAUGAUAAGAUACACUUCUCUUUUAUGAAUUGUGUUUGUCUAUGCCUAACAAAAGGUCAUAAAGAUUCUCUACUGUGCUUUCUUCUCCAAGUUUUACUUUUUCCCUUUUUUUGUGUUUGGCUGCACAGCUUGCAGAAUCUUAUUUCCUUGACCAGGGAUCAUGGCAGUGAAAGCACUGAGUCCUAACCACUGGACAUCCAGGGAAUUCCCAUUUUUUCACAUUUUGCAUUUAGGUCUGUGACCCAUUCCAAGUUGAUUUUUGUAUGAAGAGUGAGGCAUGGGCCCGGGCUGAUUUUUUUUCCGCAUGUGAUUGCAUAUGGAAAUGGUGUUCUAGCACAUCUUCUUGUUAUUAUUCAUUGUUAUCGGGGUGUAGUUGUUUUAUACUGUGUGUUGGUUUCUGCUCUACAGCAAGGUGAAUCGGCUGUACAUGUACAUAUGGCCCCUCUUUUAUGGAUUUCCUUUCCAUUUAGGUCACCAGAGAGCUUUGACUAGAGUUCCUUGUGCUAUACAGUAGGCUUGCUUUGGUUCUGCAAAAACUUGCAUGUCCUCCAAGCAUCAUGUAGCCUAAACAAUAAGGUGUUUGCCCAAGUUGUUUUUUCAGAAACUUGGAGUCAGAUGCUUCCAGUUCAAGCUAGAGCUUGUUGAGACUGGUAGGAACUACCUACAGACCAACUGGGCAAGUGCGCAUGUGCAGUAACCUUUUGAGGUCAGAAGGCCAGUAGCGUCAGCCUCAGAACAUGCCAUGCUGUCCCUCUCUGGACUUGCUGCCCCUCUCUGGACGUGCGUCCCAUGAAGAAGCCUUAGGUCCAUUGUGCAGAAUGGUGCUUGUUGAACAUUUGCUUAUCUCCAUCCCCUUUCUCCAUGCUCCUUAUGCUCCCCACACUCCCCACUCCCAGCUGCAUCUUAUAAAUACCCCAAGCCUCUCGCGUCAAGGGAGGUAGAGCUGAGAUUUGUUCUCUUCAUUUGGCUGCUCUGUGGGUAAAUCCUUCCUCUACCACAAACCUCGACAUCUCGGUGUUUGGCUGGCUAUGCGUCAGAUAAACGAACCUGGCUCAGCAUCUUUACCUGGCUUCAGCUAUUUGGUAAGACUGGCUUCAUCAAACGAACUGGGGGGGUCUUCUCUCUCGUGGUUCCCAGAAGAUUUUGUGUAGAACUGGUAUUAUUUCGCCCCCAAACAUCUGGUAGCAAAGCUCUCUGGACCUGGAGUUUUUAUUGUUGGAAGGUUUUUAACUAUAAAUUCAAUUUAUUUAAUAGAUAUAUUAAUGUUGUGAUUUUUAAUAAAUAUGUAUUUGGUCUUCAUUCCCAUUUCUGAUACAGAACUCCUAGAAUGCUUGGAAUUUCCUAAAUGAUAAGAGCAAUAAGGUGUUUUUAAUGUCAAUAAAGUGACUCUUUGGAAAGUACCUAA